GCAAAAUGAAACAGAAAUUAUAAAAUAUGAUUGUUGCUUUAAAUCUUUUAUAAAAAAGAAAGAAGAAAUGAAUGGAUGAAUGAAGGAAAAUGGUAAAAGUCAGUGGGAUCUUUUCAAGGAAUGUCAGGAAUCAACUUUCCUGUAGGAAGAAAAUGCAGAUGAGAAAACUGAAGUUUGGAUACUAUCAGAAUUGUUGUCAGAUUUUUUGUUUGCCC
ensembl:lincRNA